UGAGUUCGCGGGAGAGUAGGUUAUUGCCAGGGUUUUUAUUUUGUACUUUAAAUCCUAAAUUUAUUUUUUAUAUUUUUAUAAUGUUCAUGUUUUUGAAUGUUUUAUUCAAAUAAUGUAAAAAAUAAAAUAGAUAUUGACAUGGAUUGAACAAAAGAUAUAUAUUAUUUUAUGUUGCAUAAACAAAUUGGCAAAAUAGAGAUGGAAGAUAAAAAUAUGGUCAAAGUAAUAAGAGUCUAUGGUGAAUGCCUAGGAGCUUUAAGGCGAAGAAGGUCGUGGUAAGC
rnacentral:misc_RNA from 1 species